rnacentral:sRNA from 1 species
GUUAGCACAAACCGGAACCUUGAAAGAGGGGUGCUGAUGCCGGGGGAAAACCCUCCUAGCCAGUGAGCAGGAUAACUAAAGGCCAGACCGAAAUUUUUGCAGUAAAACAAAGGCGCCUAGGGCGCUUUUUGUUUU